ensembl:lncRNA
CAGGACGAAGCCGAGUGUAGACAGAGAAUCCUGAAAGCGCCCAGAUGAGAGGAAGAGUUUCCCGAAAAUCGACAGUUUUUUGUGCUGUGAUUCGUGCCAGGUUGCUCUACAGGAGUCAUUAAUAAGAAAUCAAGACCAGAAAAGUAGUAUAAUAGGAGAUCUUUAAUAUGUCUUUUCAAAGUAAAAGCGGUCUGGAAGGUGUCUCAUAAUUUUGUGCUGAGGAGUUCCCGCCACGAUCUCAGACACGAUGCCAUACUCAUCAGUCCAACUUCUCCAUCUCCUAGGCUAGGCUGCUUCAUAGGGGCCACUCCCACUAGGGCCGCGGCCCCGUGCCCGAGCUCAUUUGCAUACUAAAGUCUAGAACGUUUGGCUAGUGUGACCACGCCAUCCGUAUUCCAGCACGGAACAGCCCCUUGGCCACGGCACACUUGGGAGAGGUGUGCCGUGGCCAAAGUACAGAUGCUAAUGAGAUGACACACGCACACGGGCGGAUACGCAACGUGAGCUGGAUGACGUAGUCCUUGCGCUACCCUUCUUUCUUUAUAGGUCCAUGCCCUUCUUCCCAACAACAAUCAUUUUAAACAAUGGCGGCAAGCGGUUCACGAGUGUGUUUACGUUGGUGCGAUAGUGAAGUCCAGUGUUUACUUGAAAUUUGGGCCGACGACAGCAUUCACGUUGUUGUUCUCUGUUGUUGUUAUGGCGGCGACGACACUUGGUGAUGACGUAUUUAUCGUAUUACGACGUGAUGACGUAUGUAUGAAGGAGCAAUCAGGCCCAGGCCACAGCCUUUGGGAGCAGUGUGACCACGUGCCAGCAGGGGGUGUGGGGAGGGGGGGAAUCGUGCUGAAUCUUCCUGCAGCACGGAACAAGCAAACGGCCCUAGUGUGAGUGGCCCCUAAGACCACACCCAACCACAAAGCCUUCAUAACCAUGCAGUAUGUCGAGGCCGGAAAGGACAUGCACGCGCAGUCGCACACACUCAUCUUACGCACAACAAUCAGUUCUAUCAACACAAUUCAGUCACUGUAGAGUGGCUGAAGAAGAAAAAGAUUUACCCAUAGCCAGGGGCAAGGGUGGGCUCAGUCCACACAAAUGUGCGCCCUGCCCACCCACCCAAUCAAAAUUUAAGAUUAUUAUUUAUUUUUUCGUGGAAGUCCAGACCCACUAUCAGACGGACCUGUUUGUUCGCUGUCCAAGAAAAUGUCAAAUAAAAUUCAGCCAAUUAAUUAAUACUAUAGAAUAUACCAUUGCUUCUAAUGGGUGGGCAGGACAGCCUGCCUCCAAGUUUCCCACCCA